UACGGGGGGGGUAAGCGUUGUUCGGAAUUACUGGGCGUAAAGGGCUCGUAGGCGGCCAACUAAGUCAUACGUGAAAUCCCUCAGCUUAACUGGGGAAUUGCGUGUGAUACUGGAUGGCUUGGAUUUGGGAGAGGGAUGCGGAAUUCCAGGUGUAGCGGUGAAAUGCGUAGAUAUCUGGAGGAACACCGGUGGCGAAGGCGGCAUCCUGGACCAUGACUGACGCUGAGGAGCGAAAGCCAGGGGAGCAAACGGG
rnacentral:rRNA from 1 species